GCGGUGGAGCAUGUGGUUUAAUUCGAAGCAACGCGCAGAACCUUACCAGCCCUUGACAUACCGGUCGCGGACACAGAGAUGUGUCUUUCAGUUCGGCUGGACCGGAUACAGGUGCUGCAUGGCUGUCGUCAGCUCGUGUCGUGAGAUGUGGGUUAAGUCCCGCAACGAGCGCAACCCUCGCCCUUAGUUGCCAGCAUUUAGUUGGGCACUCUAAGGGGACUGCCGGUGAUAAGCCGAGAGGAAGGUGGGGAUGACGUCAAGUCCUCAUGGCCCUUACGGGCUGGGCUACACACGUGCUACAAUGGUGGUGACAGUGGGCAGCGAGCACGCGAGUGUGAGCUAAUCUCCAAAAGCCAUCUCAGUUCGGAUUGCACUCUGCAACUCGAGUGCAUGAAGUUGGAAUCGCUAGUAAUCGUGAAUCAGAAUGUCACGGUGAAUACGUUCCCGGGCCUU
rnacentral:rRNA from 1 species